CCUACGGGAGGCAGCAGUGAGGAAUAUUGGUCAAUGGGCUUACGCCUGAACCAGCCAAGUCGCGUGAGGGAAGACUGCCCUAUGGGUUGUCAACCUCUUUUGUCAGGGAGCAAUUGGCGCUACGUGUAGCGUUAUCGAGAGUACCGGAAGAAAAAGCAUCGGCUAACUCCGUGACAGCAGCCGCGGUAAUACGGAGGAUGCGAGCGUUAUCCGGGUUUAUUGGGGUUAAAGGGUGCGUAGGCGGAAUGCCAAGUCAGCGGUAAAAUCGCGGGGCUCAACCUCGCUCCGCCGUUGAAACUGGCGUUCUUGAGUGGGCGAGAAGUAUGCGGAAUGCGUGGUGUAGCGGUGAAAUGCAUAGAUAUCACGCAGAACUCCGAUUGCGAAGGCAGCAUACCGGCGCCCAACUGACGCUGAAGCAAGAAAGCGUGGGUAUCGAACAGGAUUAGAUACCCGAGUAGUC
rnacentral:rRNA from 1 species